UACAUUUUCUGUAUAUCUUUGUUACAAUCAAAUAAUCACCAUCCUUACACAGACAGACACUGUGUGUAUAUAUCUAUUAUUUACCUGUGUGUGGCUGUUGUGCAGUUACAAGCAAUGGCUUUUAGCAACCUGCUGCUUGUCUUCCAGACGAGUUCAGCGGCACGUUUUCUUCCUUCCAUUCUGUUCCUGCUUCACAUCUUUAAAGAGCUGGAGGGCUGCACAUGUGCCUUCUCGGGUGGGAGCUGGUUCUCUUACUCUGGAAAAUAAAAGCACAACAAAAGUUUUGAGAUGAUUACAACACAUCCUCAAGUGCAGCUUCCCUGCAGGGUGCCUGAUGUGUACCUAGUUUUAAAAUGAAGAACAAGUGAAGCUGAAGGAUUGCAGCUGAUUUGCUUUCCACGCUUGUGUCUAAUGAAAUUGCAUUGUGCAAAAGGGGCAGGUUAGUGUCACUGGAAACUGGGCAUGCCUUUACCAAGGAAUCAAAUCUAUGUGUCAGACCUACUCGAAGUGCUGCUCUCCAGCUAAACCAGAAACCUCUGAAAUGCCUUAUCUGCCAUUACAGCAUGUUCUUCUCUAGGUAAAAUUCCAAUUAAUUGCCUGAAAGAAAUCCUUUUGCAUUGUCCAAAUCCUGAACAAUUGCAUUUGCUUUGCUUUUUAAGGGUAUUUUUUCUUCUGUCUACACUGGCCACCACAGCUGCCACCAGAAGGGUAACUGGUACUUCCUCCUGGUGUAAUUGGCCCCAAUUCAACGGCAGUGCCAGAGUGUUUGAGUCACACACGUUGGACUUACAAUGUCUGAUAGGAAAAAUAAUGUUUUAUGAAACAUAAUGUUUUAAAUACAAGUUCUCCUACACCACCAAGUUCCUUGCUAAUCUGUUCCAAUACUUACUCACCCUUAUUGUAACAAGCAUGUGCCUUUUUUCCACUUUGAGUUGGCUGUCCUCAGCUCCCAGCCUUUGUUCCUUCCUACUCUGCCUGCCAAAUAAAACCCUUUUAGUACCCGGCCUUCUCUCCCUGAGCAUGUUUGCACAGAGAUGAAGGGGCCUGUUGAUCUCCAUAAGCUGAAGAGACAGGACUGCUUUAAGUCUCUCCCUACAAAGAAAUUUCUCCAGGAUUUCUGUAAUGUUUGUGUUUCAGACCUUACAUUUCUUGACAUUUAGGAAGGGACAUCAGAACCCACACUGAGAUUUGUCUCCAUUUUGCUCUCCACAGACUGCAUGACAUUCUUAGUCAGCUUCUUUGUAUCCUCAAAGACUGUCUUAACCCUUUUGGCAGGAGAUGAGCUAAGGUUUAGACCUCCCCUCAGCUUUUUCUGGGUAGCUGAGUUACAGACUCCCUUUCCUGCAGGUGUGGACAAUAUUUUCUUCCUUGUGUUAAUGCAGCUAAAUGCAAAAUUAAGUCCCCCUUCGUUUGGCAGGCCUGGCUUACUGAGAAAUACAGGCUUUUCUGUGUGUGUUCCCACCAUGCUGUUGCUCACCAGUGUUUCAGGAGUGACUUCAGAUCUGCUUCUCAAUCACUGAUGGAAGUGUCAAAUAGGACGGGGUGCAGCAGUGAUUUGAGCAGGAUCUCACAGGAAACAUCCCUAUUUGAAGGACAGGGGCAAACCGUUUGAGAUCUGUCAGGGAGACAAUCUUCAUCCACGUGUGGAUUGUUUGUUUUAUAUUGCAGAUAGUUAUCUGCAGAUACUGCUUACGCUGCAGAGUGCCAUGCCAGGUGAUGUGUCUUUACAAUUAGACUUAACUAAGCCUGGUUGAAUGACAGGGUCUAUUUUUGAUGGAGUUUAAUUGCAUGUUUGCCUUUAAUUCUUUAUUAAUGGAUUUCUGAUGCCGUUUUCAGACUCCUACCUCUGAUGUCAGAUUAACUGGCCUUUAUCUGAGUUGACAUCUUUGCCCUGUGUUGCUCCAGUGACCUGCCUGCACCCAGCACACCCUGAAGGCAAAGCGGGUGAGCACGGCGGCUGUUGUACAUGAAAUACCUGGGCUUGCUCUGCCUGGUUGCUAACAGAGUGGCAAAUACAUCAUCCCACUUGCUUCAAGCUGAAAUAUCAACCUCCUGCACUUCUAUAGUCUGCAGCAGGCCCCCACCGCAUUUAAAGCACUGCUUUUGUUCCUAAUAGAUUAAAAUUUCUCUUGUAUCAUCCUUAUCUUUUCAGUGAUUUCUUUUUAAGCUUUGUCAAGAUUACAGAAAUUAUCCCUUUUA
ensembl:lncRNA